CGUCUAUAUACGUAUAGCAUAUCAAUAAGCGGAGGAAAAAUGAUGUAUACCUACGCUUAGGAUGUUGACACACGCGCGUGCUCGACGUCUAUACAUGACUCUGCGCAUAUCAAUAAGCGGAGGAAAAGAAACUAACAAGGAUUCCCCUAGUAACGGCGAGUGAAGCGGGAAGAGCUCAAAUUUGAAAUCUUAAAGGGUUUCCCUUUACGAAUUGUAGUUUAAAGAAGUGUUUUCUGUUGAGGUUUUGGUAAAAGUUCUUUGGAAUAGGACAUCAUAGAGGGUGAGAAUCCCGUAUUUGACCUUUACUUUCAACUUUGUGAUACACUUUCAAAGAGUCGGAUUGUUUGGGAAUGCAGUCCAAAAUGGGUGGUAAAUUUCAUCUAAAGCUAAAUAUUGGCGAGAGACCGAUAGCGAACAAGUACCGUGAGGGAAAGAUGAAAAGAACUUUGAAAAGAGAGUUAAACAGUACGUGAAAUUGUCAAAAGGGAAGCGUUUGACACCAGUGUUGUUUUUCUGAAAAUCAAUUAAAGAACUGUUUAUGCUAAGCUGUUUAGACUUUAUCAGCUAACUGUUUAGUUUUGAGCUUUUCUUUAAUGCACUUUUCAGUUAACAAGUCAACAUCAAUUUCUUUUGCUGUAAAAAGCUUGAGGAAGGUGGCUUGAGAUUCGUCUUAAGUGUUUAUAGCCUCUUGCCUAUGCAGUCGGAGAGAUUGAGGUCUGCAGCGUAGAUCCUUCGGGGCUAAAUGCAUUUGUGCUAAGUUAUAGCAUUUUAUAGACAACUUGUUGACUAUGAUUUGUCUUGUAGCUUACUCGCUUAUGUUAUUUUACCUACGCUUAGGAUGUUGACUGAUAUGUAGUCGUA
rnacentral:rRNA from 1 species